rnacentral:rRNA from 1 species
UACAGAGGGUGCAAGCGUUAAUCGGAAUUACUGGGCGUAAAGCGCGCGUAGGUGGUUUGUUAAGUUGAAUGUGAAAUCCCCGGGCUCAACCUGGGAACUGCAUGCAAAACUGGCAAGCUAGAGUAUGGUAGAGGGUGGUGGAAUUUCCUGUGUAGCGGUGAAAUGCGUAGAUAUAGGAAGGAACACCAGUGGCGAAAGGCGACCACCUGGACUGAUACUGACACUGAGGUGACGAAAGCGUGGGGAGCAAACAGGA